ACUCCUACGGGAGGCAGCAGUAGGGAAUCUUCCGCAAUGGACGAAAGUCUGACGGAGCAACGCCGCGUGAGUGAUGAAGGUUUUCGGAUCGUAAAACUCUGUUGUUAGGGAAGAACAAGUACCGGAGUAACUGCCGGUACCUUGACGGUACCUAACCAGAAAGCCACGGCUAACUACGUGCCAGCAGCCGCGGUAAUACGUAGGUGGCAAGCGUUGUCCGGAAUUAUUGGGCGUAAAGCGCGCGCAGGCGGUUCCUUAAGUCUGAUGUGAAAGCCCCCGGCUCAACCGGGGAGGGUCAUUGGAAACUGGGGAACUUGAGUGCAGAAGAGAAGAGUGGAAUUCCACGUGUAGCGGUGAAAUGCGUAGAGAUGUGGAGGAACACCAGUGGCGAAGGCGACUCUUUGGUCUGUAACUGACGCUGAGGCGCGAAAGCGUGGGGAGCAAACAGGAUUAGAUACCCUGGUAGUCCACGCCGUAAACGAUGAGUGCUAAGUGUUAGAGGGUUUCCGCCCUUUAGUGCUGCAGCAAACGCAUUAAGCACUCCGCCUGGGGAGUACGGCCGCAAGGCUGAAACUCAAAGGAAUUGACGG
rnacentral:rRNA from 1 species